GGUCGCGUGGUGUAGUUGGUUAUCACGUCAGUCUAACAACUGCUCGCCCUGCGAGUUGAUUGACCACUGAAGGUCCCCAGUUCAAACCUGGGCGCGAUCA